AUUGAACGCUGGCGGCAUGCUUUACACAUGCAAGUCGAACGGCAGCACGGGAGCUUGCUCCUGGUGGCGAGUGGCGAACGGGUGAGUAAUGCAUCGGAACGUACCCAGUAGUGGGGGAUAGCCCGGCGAAAGCCGGAUUAAUACCGCAUAUUUCCUGAGGGAGAAAGCGGGGGACCUUCGGGCCUCGCGCUACUGGAGCGGCUGAUGUCGGAUUAGCUAGUUGGUGAGGUAAAGGCUCACCAAGGCGACGAUCCGUAGCUGGUCUGAGAGGAUGAUCAGCCACACUGGGACUGAGACACGGCCCAGACUCCUACGGGAGGCAGCAGUGGGGAAUUUUGGACAAUGGGGGCAACCCUGAUCCAGCCAUGCCGCGUGAGUGAAGAAGGCCUUCGGUUGUAAGACUCUUUCAGUGGAAGAAAUCACUACCCGAAUACGGUAGGUGGAGUGACGGUA
rnacentral:rRNA from 1 species